GCCGGAGUGGCGGAACUGGCAGACGCACUGGACUUAAAAUCCAGCGAUUCGAAAGACUCGUACCGGUUCGAUCCCGGUCUCCGGCACCA
rnacentral:tRNA from 1 species